CCACGCCCACGCCCACGCCCACGCCCACGCCCUAUAUACAUAUAUACUUACAUACUUUACUAGUACUAGUAUUAUUUUUGCUUCUCUUUCUGUUUUUGUUGUUGGGAUUCUCUCUCUCUCUCUCUUUCCAUUUCUUUUUCUUUUUCUUUUCUUUUUUUGGUUAUGAAACUCAGAGAGAAAGAGACUCUCUCUCCCUCGCCCUCCCUCUGACAUGAGCCUUUGCCCUUUGGGGUGAAAUCCCAUGCAAUAAAAGAUGCUCUUUGUCGGCUCUCUUUCUGCUCCACCCCACUACCGCUACUUCUACUACACUACUGUUAUAUACUACAUUAUAUAUCUACGUCCAGAUACAUCUGGUGUCACGUUUUAAGGUAAAAUAAUAAUAAAAAUAUUUAUUCUAAACUUUUUAUACAACCGUUUUUUCUCAUUUUUUAUUACGUAUUUAAAUGUGAUAAUAAAUAUGUACGUAAAUAUAUUCCUGUUAUAUAAUAUAGAAUAUUCUCCUCUACAUGCAUCCUUAAUUAACCAUCAUCACAUAUACCAACCACCACCACCGUCGUGAAUUAAUUUAUGCCGGCCGGUCACCAUAUACUAAUUUAUACUUUAGAUUAUGGAUGGACCUAAUUAAACCUAACAAAUGUUAAUGGAGAAGAUAGAUAACAUUUCAUGCAGGAGAUCUAGCUAAAUGUAAUGGUAAAUAAGUAACUAAAUUUCACUUGAACACAAUAUAUAUAACAUGAAUAAAAGGUGAUACAAAGGACGAAGAUUUGGACUCAAUCCAUGUAAGACAUAAUUUGCGCUGAAAAUAUAUAUAAAAGGAGAAAAUAAAAAGAUCCUAGUAAUAUGAACUCCCUUAAUUUCUAGUUGAUUUUAUAAAAGAAGGAAAUAUUGCAUAUGAACGAAGGAAUAACAUUAUUAUUGCAGUGGUAAAAGAUCAAAUGUACAACAAAAAGUUAGUUUGUAAGAUUAUUAAGACUUCGACCUUAGAAUCAUUAGAUACCAGGUUUGAUUAUUGUCAUAUAAGUUUGUUCUUGAAAUUUCCCUUGUUUUGAUAUUUUUUCUUUCUGAUAUACUAUUAGAGCAGUUCAUCGCGAUACGCAAUGAGGUGGUGCGGAUGGUAGUUAUCUUACCGUCGAAGACUUUUGGUAGAUGUUGAGUCAGCCCUUGACUACAUAUAUAAGUAUUUUACUCAUUUUAAGUUGUAUAUUUUGUAUGUUAUUUAAUUAUCAUUUAGUUGUCUCUUUAAUUCUCAAUUACGGGCUAAUAAGUUAUAUUUUUAAUUGUAUCAAUAGGGUGGUGAUACCGAGGAGGUUGGUGAUGCCGAGCAGGGGGUGAUGACAAUAAUUUUCAGACAUCAAAAUAAUUUCGUCGACCCCCACCCGAUGAUUCUCCUCACACCGGUGUUAGUACUAGCUUGAUUUAGUUUUGUAGAUUAUUGUAAAUAUAAUUUAUCCCUAUUUAUUUUAGUUUAACUAUAUAUUUUUUGUAAAUUAUUGUACGUACGUAAUUUAGUUUAGUUUUGUAAAUGGUACUUUUAAAUAAUUUUUUUUUAUAAUUUAUCGUAAAUUAGUUUAUAUUUGUUACAGCUUAUGUUGAGGUAAUUCAUAUAUGUUGUUGUUAUAAUUUUAGAACGAAAAUACGUCAGAAAAAAAUUGUAUAAUUUAUUAAAAAUAUAAUAUUUUUGA
rnacentral:lncRNA from 1 species